GCGAAAGAAUGAAAUAAACUGUUCGAUGUAUCGUACUCAACUUGGUCCUAAAAAUUCCUAUAAAAUGUUAGGUAUCACAUUAGAUUAUUAUUUUUUUUUUUUUAAAAAAAAAAACUGACUCGGCCUUUGGCCUCGUAGGCCUACGGCCAAGUCCUGCGCCCUUGAGAAUAUCUAAUUUCAAAUGUGCCCUACGCCCUUGAGAAUAUCAUAUUUCAAAUCUACUAACCAAGACCUUUCGAUAGAUACCCAUACAGGUAAUGUUGACUCGACAUUGUCAUUCUCGGCACUCGGCCUCGUCUAAAAAGGAGGCCGAGUGCCUCGUCCUCCGAACUCGAUUUGAAAUAUAUUUCAAAUCUAUUCAUCAAGACCUUUUCAUAGACACCCAUUUAUUUAACUAAAGUUAUGUCGACAUUUUUUUUUCAGAUUCGGUUCUCGGCCUCGUAGGACUAAUCUUGGCCUCGUAGGAUAUGCCUCGGCCUCGGAUAAAAACACCAUAUUUUAAAUCUGCUCAGUAAGCGCUUUCUUUGGAUACCCAUAUCGAUAAUAUCGAAAAGAAAAUGGUUUUAUUUAAAUUUUGGGGCCCCCAUGUGAUUUUUAUACCAUUUGGGGGCAUAUUCGGCGCUCCAUAGCUCAACUCUCGGAGUUUUCCCAGAUAUACGAUUUGUUUGAUAAUAUUGCAAAUGUAUUCUAGUUUCCAACAAAAAAGUUUAAAACAAAUCGUUAGAGCCAUUUUUGAGAAAAUUGUAAAAAAAGUGGGUUUUCAGACAUUUUCCAAAAGUUUGGGGCAACCUGACCCCGCCCCCUGCGGUCUUUUUGAAAAAAAUAUUACACAAACAUUGGGGGAAUAUAUAUUUAAAUAAUCAUGCCAAAUUUCAUCAAAAUCGGUCAAGUGGUUUGAAAGUUAUAACAAAUUAUGUAAAACAAGUGCCUAAAAGGACAGACAGACAGACAGACACACUGACAGACAGACAUUUUUUCAACUUUCGUUUUUUAGAAUCAGGAGGUCAUAAAACGUCGAGAAAAAUAUUUUUUGGCGAAAAAAAUAUUUUUUUUUCCUGCACGAUCAUAAUACUUGGUCUAUAUGUAUAUAGGAUAGGACCAAGUAAAAAAUAGGUAG
rnacentral:lncRNA from 1 species